UCCCUGGUGGCUCAGUGGGCUAAGGAUCUGGCAUUGUCACUGCUGUGGCUCAGGUUCAAUCCCUGGCCAGGGAA
rnacentral:tRNA from 1 species